GGGUGAGUAACACGUGGGUAACGUACCCUUGGGUGGGGAAUAACGGGCCGAAAGGCUCGCUAAUACCGCAUCAGACCACGUCCUUCGAGGAGGAUGAGGCCAAAGGGGGCUGUCGUGAGGCAGCUCCCGCCUGAGGAUCGGCUCGCGUACCAUUAGCUAGAUGGCGGGGUAAUGGCCCACCAUGGCUACGAUGGUUAGCUGGUCUGAGAGGACGACCAGCCACACUGGAACUGAAACACGGUCCAGACUCCUACGGGAGGCAGCAGUGGGGAAUAUUGCGCAAUGGGCGAAAGCCUGACGCAGCAACGCCGCGUGAGUGAAGAAGGCCUUCGGGUUGUAAAGCUCUGUCAGAGGGAAAGAAUAUGGCUGGCAACACCAGCCUUUGACGGUACCCUCGAAGGAAGCACUGGCUAACUCCGUGCCAGCAGCCGCGGUAAUACGGAGAGUGCAAGCGUUGUUCGGAAUUAUUGGGCGUAAAGCGCAUGUAGGUGGCUUGAUAAGUCUGAUGUGAAAGCCCAGGGCUCAACCCUGGAAGUGCAUUGGAAACUGUUGAGCUUGAGUACUGGAGGGGGAAGUGGAAUUCUCGAGUGUAGAGGUGAAAUUCGUAGAUAUUCGGAAGAACAUCAGUGGCGAAGGCGACUUCCUGGACAGAUACUGACACUGAGAUGCGAAAGCGUGGGUAGCAAACAGGAUUAGAUACCCUGGUAGUCCACGCUGUAAACGAUGGGUGCUAGUUGUCGCGGGUAACCAACCCUGCGGUGACGAAGCUAACGCGAUAAGCACCCCGCCUGGGGAUUACGGCCGCAAGGCUAAAGCUCAAAGGAAUUGACGGGGGCCCGCACAAGCGGUGGAGUAUGUGGUUUAAUUCGACGCAACGCGCAGAACCUUACCCAGACUUGACAUCCCUGAAACCUGGCCGAAAAGCUGGGGUGCUCGCAAGAGAAUCAGGUGACAGGUGCUGCAUGGCUGUCGUCAGCUCGUGUCGUGAGAUGUUGGGUUAAGUCCCGCAACGAGCGCAACCCUUGUCUUUAGUUGCCAUCAUUAGGU
rnacentral:rRNA from 1 species